rnacentral:rRNA from 1 species
UACGUGGGGUGCGAGCGUUGUCCGGAAUUAUUGGGCGUGAAGAGCUCGUAGGCGGUUUGUCGCGUCGACUGUGAAAACCCGAGGCUUAACCUCGGGCCUGCAGUCGAUACGGGCAGACUAGAGUUCGGUAGGGGAGACUGGAAUUCCUGGUGUAGCGGUGAAAUGCGCAGAUAUCAGGAGGAACACCGGUGGCGAAGGCGGGUCUCUGGGCCGAUACUGACGCUGAGGAGCGAAAGCGUGGGGAGCGAACAGG